rnacentral:rRNA from 2 species
GAUGAACGCCGGCGGCGUGCCUAAUACAUGCAAGUCGAACGAGUUCUCGUUGAUGAUCGGUGCUUGCACCGAGAUUCAACAUGGAACGAGUGGCGGACGGGUGAGUAACACGUGGGUAACCUGCCCUUAAGUGGGGGAUAACAUUUGGAAACAGAUGCUAAUACCGCAUAGAUCCAAGAACCGCAUGGUUCUUGGCUGAAAGAUGGCGUAAGCUAUCGCUUUUGGAUGGACCCGCGGCGUAUUAGCUAGUUGGUGAGGUAAUGGCUCACCAAGGCGAUGAUACGUAGCCGAACUGAGAGGUUGAUCGGCCACAUUGGGACUGAGACACGGCCCAAACUCCUACGGGAGGCAGCAGUAGGGAAUCUUCCACAAUGGACGCAAGUCUGAUGGAGCAACGCCGCGUGAGUGAAGAAGGCUUUCGGGUCGUAAAACUCUGUUGUUGGAGAAGAAUGGUCGGCAGAGUAAACUGUUGUUCGGCGGG